CACCGCGGUUAUACGAGGGGCCCAAACUGAUAAAUCACGGCGUAAAGUGUGAUUAAAGACAUACGAUAUACUAAAGCUAAAUAGCCCCUAUGCUGUCAUACGCCAUGGGGCCCACGAAGUCCAACAACGAAAGUGGCUUUAUAAACCUUGAACUCACGACAGUCAGGGCA
rnacentral:rRNA from 1 species